UUGGGUGGUGAAACCCCCCAGUUGCUGUUUGUAGCUUCUGGGACAAGAAAGGAUGCAAAAACAAACCUGGAGUUAUCCAAAGCUACAGGCUUUGUUCCAGUGGCUCUCGGCUAUUUCACCUCUCGGACAUUA